AUGAAUGUAGAUGCCACAACUGCCUCCUCAAUCGCGCAGAUUUUUGGUUGUGCCACUGCUGGGUUUCCCCAAACCUAUCUCGGCCUUCCUCUCUCCCCUGCCAAACUUCCUCCCUCAGACUUCCAGCCUCUCAUUUCUUCUUUCCGAUCCCUCCUCCCCGGCUGGUGUGCGAAAUUGCUCAAUCGAGCUGGGAGGCUCGUGCUCAUUUCCGCUAUUCUGGACUCUCUCUCAACCUACUUUAUGUCAAUUUUCAAAAUUCCGAAGAAGACACUAAAGACGUUGGACGCCAUUAGACAGGCCUUCUUUUGGGCUGCUGAGGAAACAUGCACGGGCUCUAAAUGCUUGAUUGCUUGGAAAAAUGUUUGCAAACCGAAUUUUUUUGGUGGUCUAGGCAUUAAGAACUUAGCUAUACAGAAUGAAUGUCUUCUUAUGAAGUUUGCUUUCAAAUACCUCACACAUGAUGAAAACACACAACUGCCUUGGAUUUCCUGGUUAGACAAACAACACCUAUGUAGCCUAUCCCACCUUGCUUCCUGCCAAAACCUUCUUUCCUAA
rnacentral:rRNA from 1 species